GGAACUAGAUGAGCUAUUAAGUCCCUUCCAACCUAAUCUAUUUUAUGAUCUUCCAUGGCACAGAAAUCAAAAGAGCUGGACUCAGUAUGAACUAUGUCGAUUUCUGUAAGGAAAAAAUGGUCUCCUAAUACUGCCAUGGCUGAUGUAUGAAUGACAAGCAGAUAAGCUUUGUCUUCACCUCAGUGCUGCCAGCUUGCACUGGGGAGGCUGGACUGGUCCAUUCUGUGGUCUUCAGCAUCUCUCUGGAUCACAGCACAGUCUAGUGUUUUCUCUACUCAGGUAGUAGAUGGCACUCCUGAGUCACUAGGGGCUCCAGGUGUACACAAGGUCUCAGAUGUUUGCCACCUACCAACCGGAUAUUGCAGCAAGAGUUUCAGAGCGCUCUAUUCUAUGUGCCUAUUCAACAUCUGUGUUUGGGAAGCCCAGCUCACAAAGUCGUGACAUCCAACAGAACAGGUGUUGUUAAUCCACUCAAAUAUAAGCAUUUUCCAGCUCCAGACCACAUGUUUGUUUUUACUGCUUUCCAAACAUCAUAUUGUGUAAAAUACAGAAUAAAUGCCCUUCCAUCUGGUGUGCUGUGAUCCAGAGCGGCAAACUCAGGUAAAGCAAUGAGUGGGAUAGAAGGCACUGUGGAUGUUGGUCCUGAACUACUGGCAAGAUUUCUGGUACAAGUAAGCUAACUGAUGCCUGGGAAUUUUAUGGGACCAAUGAAGUGUGUGCACAGGUCUCAGAUGGGUUUAGCCCUGCAAUCAGAAAGGAAAGGCAUGAGAGACAAGAAGCGAAGAGCAUUUCUGCACAUAUUUUGUGAGAGUAUUUUUGAAGAUUUUACUUGAUGCAGUUUUCACCAUGGAACUUACAUAUAUAUAUCCUAAUGCUGUCUUACAGAAUCUUCUGAAGACACGAGGAACUAGCAGAUCUAUACAUGUGGCAUGUAGAUGAGGAAAUGCUUUUAAUCCAGGACGGAAAUCUCCACUGUUUAUUGACAGCAAUAAGCUUUUGGGAGUAAGAAGGUAUGGACCAAUGAAACUGUGCAAGAAGCUGAAUCUCUGGGAAAGCAAGUCACAACCCACACAAAAGACAAUUUCUGGUAUUUCCUAUAUCAUGGCAGCAGCUCUGCCCCACUGAACAGCACGGCUUUGCCCCAGGGUUUUAACCCAUCACUCACAGCAACUGCACAGCAGUGUGCGAUCAGCACUGCCUGGGCUGAAACUGAGACACAGGGAGGGCGCAUGGCAGUGCUGACCCAGUUAUGGCAAAUAACUGUGUGCAGUUGGUUAUGUUGGCUAAACAUAGUACCGGAAAUUGAGAAAAAAUAUGCAGCCCUGCUUUGUGUUUUGAUACAGGAAUUUGAGAAUAGGUUUCAAGAUUGACAAAAAAAAAAUCAUGAUUUUUUUAGCCAUAGUUGCAACUCUUUUUUCAGUCAACAUAAAUACAUCACCUGCAAACUUUUGUAUGGAAUGCAUAGAGUUGCAGUCAGACAGUCAACUAAAAAAUCGGAUCAUGUCUCUCUGCCAGACUUUUACAAGCCCUCUCUGAUCAGAGAGAAAUUCUUCUCCCUUCACAGUCACACCUUAUUCACAGCACUGCUAGUUGGAAGUACGUGCAUCUGUUUUCAAGGAUGAAGCACAGGAAGAGUAAAAUUUCAUCAACAAUCUCUGAUGAACACCUUGAGAGCUCACUGAGAACGGCAGCCACUGCCACCGAACCAAGGUGAGGCAGUUCCACAAAAAUAAGAUCAAACAUCCAAUUAGUUUUGUGGUUUUGUUGCUCUCUUUUUUUAAUAAAAAAUAUUAAAGAUUAAAAUAACUUUUACUGCCUAUAUACAUUAACUAUAUUUUUGAGAGCUGCUCUGAAAGUAAUACCUCCUAUUUUAUUAUGUUGACCCACAACAUCACAGGCAGACAUUGGUUGUAUGGCAGUAGAAGUUGAACUUUCCCACCAAUAUUCCUUUACAUUUUGUUGCUGUGUGACAGACAGCAGCAGAAAGGCAGUCUGACAAAAUGGUGUCUGACGUGGAAGUGUGUCUGAAGUGAAGGUGUGUCACUGAAUUCCUCCAUGCAGAAAAAAUGGCACCCACUGACAUCCACACUUACUGAACGUUUAUGGGAACCCAACAGUGGAUGUGAGCACACUGAGGCAGUGGGUGGCACAUUUCAGCAGUGGCGACAGUGACAUCUCCACUGGUGCAGAUUUUUACAAGCAUGGCAAACAGGCUUCUGUUCAUCUGAGUAAUGGUGGCUAUUAUGUUGAAAAAUAGUGUUUUGUAGCAGAGAAUGUGCUCUAUCAGUGUUAUUGUGCUCUUUGUAUCUGUCACAGUUUCCAUGGAAAUAUUUGGCAUUCCUUUUGGAGUGACCUUUGUGUAUACAGCCCGAUACAAUUCCUGUUCAUUCAGUGCAAUCCAGGCAAGCCAAAAGGUUGGACACCCAUGGCUUAACAAAAAAUAUUCCUUCAUAAAGAGAGCUGUGAGACAUGUAGGCACCCCAUUAGGAAAAAUUGCAAAAAAUACAUAAUAUUUAUGGUCACUAGUCCAAGCAGACAACAAAAUACCAGGCCUAACCAAAUUUAUUCAGUUUCAAAUGUAUUAUUUCGUAUUACAUCUGCGUGAAAAUCUCAAGAACACCUCCUUAUUAUAAAAGUAACUUCAUAGGUAUGAUAACUUCUUUGAUUAACAUGGAUCAUUCACAUGAGUUCACCAUGCACAAACUUAGAGUCCUGGGCAGUCUUAAUUCCAUAACAACUGCUCUGUUAAACUAUCUUCCCUACAGCUUGCCACCCUGUUCUGCAGCAGGAAUCAAUUUCACUAGUACACCCCCUCAGCCAAUUUAGCUUUCAAGGAUUCUUUGUCAAAUUUCUAGUACAACGCAAAGGAAAGUAUACCACUUCGUAGUAUUGACUCAUCAAGACUGACAGACAACAGCAUAUCAUCUAUAUCUUGCAAUUGAAGAAAGUAGUAAGAAAGUCAGCUAUUUCUUAACAGUAAAUAAGCACACUGUCAAGAGGACUUUUUUUUUUUAAGUCAGUCAAAGGUCAGAUGAGUUUAACUAUUUCAUGCUGUAGGAAAAAUUCUAAAGUAUAAGGAAGAGGGAAAGUAUAUUAGAUAAAUAUUAGAUAAAAUGAAAAUACGCAUGGAGAUAAGUUUGUACUGAACACGUAGUUGGAAAAAACUUUUCUCUGGAACAUUCUAUUUCUCCUUCCCCUCCAGUGGCACAUGUUUUGUACAGCAUUCUUGUAAUAAAAAAAAUCUGUAUUGCUCUGAAAUCUCUGAAAUACUUACAUGUCCUCUCCCAGCAAUCACUUCUUUAAAACUCAGGAGAAUAAAAAAACAGUUCAGCAGUUGCUGAGAGAGUUGUUUGGUUUUUUUUACAGACAAAUCAAAGUCUCUCCCAUCACCUCUGGGAAGUCCAGGAGUUUUUGCUCUCAAAGACUGUAAUGUUGUUAUGUGUUUCAUAAACUUAUCAAGCUCUAUCCUAAAAUAGCUUGUUUUGCGCAUCUCAUAAGACUCUGCCAGAAAUUGAUGGCACUGCAGGUUAUGACCUAUCAUUUAAUUUCCAGCAUAAACUUACUCACAAUUUAUAUCAAUUUCUUCUGGCACCAGCAAUCUGUUUAAGCUCAAGCAUUUCUUCUUUCUGGUGCUUAAUCCUCCUCUGGCGUUCACACUGAAAGCCUGAAUUGCCCCCUUCAUCAUCACUUUGUGGACUAAAUACAUCAUCACCUUCUAGUUCUGUCUUCUU